rnacentral:piRNA from 1 species
UGNGCUGGCCCAUGAUACAAGUCCUGUACU